rnacentral:piRNA from 1 species
UAGGAGCCUACUCAAGACCUUAGUCUAGAA